rnacentral:rRNA from 1 species
GACGGAGGAUGCAAGUGUUAUCCGGAAUCACUGGGCGUAAAGCGUCUGUAGGUCGUUUAAAAAGUCUACUGUUAAAAAUUGAAGCUUAACUUCAAAGGUGCCGUAGAAACUUUUAAACUUGAGUAUGGUAGGGGUAGAGGGAAUUUCCGGUGGAGCGGUGAAAUGCGUAGAGAUCGGAAAGAACACCAACGGCGAAAGCACUCUGCUGGGCCGACACUGACACUGAGAGACGAAAGCUAGGGGAGCGAAUGGG